UGAGCGGCCAGAUGGGUGUCCUCAACUGCAUUUUACAGAAGACACAGCUGAAACCCAAUCACCUGCCCAAGGUCAAACUCUGAGAAGGUGGUGAGUCCCCGAAUCCUCGUGGGAUGUGCUGCCACCAGCAUGAGCUGCUUUAUGAAAUCGACGCACCGACACUCAGAUUCUGAGGUUCCAACUCAAAUGAGAUGGGCUCACAAAGCACAAGAUGGCCUCCCAUAUGAGAUCAGGCUGCAUGCACACAGGAAGCCAAGAAAAACUGAAGAACUGGAUGGAAAAGACAGAAUCCAUUGACCAGAGAUAGGGAGAAGUUCGCCGGGUGGAGCAAGAGAAGGGGAAGCAGAUAGCAAGCAAGACGGUAGGAGCAAGCAUAUCAGCCACAAAACACAAUGAAAUGAGAGCUAGUUUAUCCAGUUGUGAUUCCACUACGGUCCAUCACCGCCAGAGCUGAGUAGGACUCUGAAAUGGUGAGAUUUAUUCCUAAUCCCUUCUAACUUUCUCUGUAAGCCACAGCCUUCGUAUCACCCCUUGUUUGCCCAAGAAACAUCUCC
rnacentral:lncRNA from 1 species